UACGUAGGGUGCGAGCGUUAAUCGGAAUUACUGGGCGUAAAGCGUGCGCAGGCGGCGCGUUAAGACAGGUGUGAAAGCCCCGAGCUUAACUUGGGAAUUGCGCUUGUGACUGGCGUGCUGGAGUGUGGCAGAGGGAGGUGGAAUUCCACGUGUAGCAGUGAAAUGCGUAGAGAUGUGGAGGAACACCGGUGGCGAAGGCGGAUCUCUGGGCCUUGCCUGACGCUGAGGCGCGAAAGCUAGGGAGCGAACAGG
rnacentral:rRNA from 1 species